GAUGAACGCUGGCGGCGUGCCUAAUACAUGCAAGUCGAGCGAACAGAUGAGGAGCUUGCUCCUCUGACGUUAGCGGCGGACGGGUGAGUAACACGUGGAUAACCUACCUAUAAGACUGGGAUAACUUCGGGAAACCGGAGCUAAUACCGGAUAAUAUAUUGAACCGCAUGGUUCAAUAGUGAAAGACGGUUUUGCUGUCACUUAUAGAUGGAUCCGCGCCGCAUUAGCUAGUUGGUAAGGUAACGGCUUACCAAGGCAACGAUGCGUAGCCGACCUGAGAGGGUGAUCGGCCACACUGGAACUGAGACACGGUCCAGACUUCUACGGGAGGCAGCAGUAGGGAAUCUUCCGCAAUGGGCGAAAGCCUGACGGAGCAACGCCGCGUGAGUGAUGAAGGUCUUCGGAUCGUAAAACUCUGUUAUUAGGGAAGAACAAAUGUGUAAGUAACUAUGCACGUCUUGACGGUACCUAAGCAGAAAGCCACGGCUAACUACGU
rnacentral:rRNA from 1 species